rnacentral:sRNA from 1 species
GGAAUGUUUAAAAGUCAAUUUUUGCCUUAUGUAUUGAUUUUAGAACCUUAUUUGUAGCAAUUUAUUGGGAAAAAAAAAAAAAACGUAUUUGAAACUUUGACAGCAACUGUGGUGCUGCUGCAGCCAAGUCACUGACAGCUCUAAUGGCCCCUUUAUUAUCUCUUUCCUGUUUCUGGGCAAACCUCUUAGCCAUUCGUUCCUGGUUAACUCGGAAACACAUCCAGAGGCUGCAUGCAGCUGCCACAGUCAUCAAGCGUGCAUGGCAGAAGUGGAGAAUCAGAAUGGCCUGCCUUGCUGCUAAAGAGCUGGAUGGUGUGGAAGAAAAACACUUCUCUCAAGCUCCCUGUUCCCUGAGCACCUCGCCGCUGCAGACCAGGCUCCUGGAGGCAAUAAUCCGCCUCUGGCCCCUGGGACUGGUCCUGGCCAAUACGGCUAUGGGUGUAGGCAGCUUUCAGAGGAAAUUAGUGGUCUGGGCUUGCCUCCAGCUCCCCAGGGGCAGCCCCAGUAGCUACACUGUCCAGACAGCACAAGACCAGGCUGGUGUCACGUCCAUCCGAGCGCUGCCUCAGGGAUCGAUAAAGUUUCACUGCAGAAAGUCUCCACUGCGGUAUGCUGACAUCUGCCCUGAACCUUCGCCCUACAGCAUUACAGGCUUUAAUCAGAUCCUGCUGGAAAGACACAGGCUGAUCCACGUGACCUCUUCUGCCUUCACUGGGCUGGGGUGAUCCUUGGUGCCUUUGUUUCCACAAGGCCUUUUCCUGCCCCCUGCCUUGCCAAAGACAUUUAAUCAGCACACAGCUGCCAGACUAUUCCCACAGUGCUCCAAAUGCACGUGAACAACAGUGACGGCUCAAGCCUUCGACCCAGGGCCCCGUGCCCAGUGCGUCAGUGGGCCUGGGGCUCCAGGCUACAUCAAGCACUGAUGGUGUCAGGGCUGGUAGUUACCAAACCAGGGUUAAGAAACAUCAGGGCCACGUUUCACUACCUUCACACAUCAAACUCAGCAGCAGUCAUGACUGUCUGUCACUACAUUGGGGACCCCA